rnacentral:lncRNA from 1 species
UCACUGCCAAAUGGCAUGAGAAGUGCUGUGACAGACUUGAGUAAAGUCCACAGGGUUCAGAAGGGGCGGUGGUCGUCACUGCAUGGGGGUGACCUCAGACUGUCCCGAUCCCUGUAUUGGCCCCUUUCACAGUUGGAUAACCAGUCCCAGCCUCAUGACCCUGGGCCUCAGUCAGCGUUUAGCCUACCAGGGUCCACCCAGCACCUGCGCUCCCAGCUGUCACAAUGCAAACAACGCUAUCAAGAUCUCCAGGAGAAGCUGCUGCUAUCAGAAGCCACUGUCUUUGCUCAGGCUAACGAGCUGGAGAAAUACAGAGUUAUGCUUACAGGUGAAUCCUUGGUGAAGCAGGACAGCAAGCAGGUCCAGGUGAACCUCCAGGACCUGGGCUAUGAGACUUGUGGCUGAAGCGAGAAUCAGGCUGAACAGGAGGAAACCACCAGUCCUGGUAAGAGCACAGGGUGUGGGGCUCACCCCUCCCUGGAGUCAGCUGUCACAUUUGGAUGCUGUUGGCCAAUUCCACACCUAACAAGUGGUGGGAAAGAGGAGGACAGGAGGUUAAUAGGAGAACUCUAACCCAAAAUGAGGCUAAGUAUAAGUUGGAAUUUCUACAAUUAGUUUUUGACAUACUACUACUACUACUACUAAUAAUAAUAUAAAGUUCUAUCCAACUGAUUAUUAUAGAAAUACUAAGAUCUACUUAGAGACCAGAUGAGGUUUUGGAAACAUGCAAACCAUAAGUUAAACAUAAUUUUGUUUUGCAUUAUAAAAAGACUACAACUAUAGGGCCACCCACCACACUGAAAACCAGAAGAGAAGAAAAACACAAUCUCUCUCAUUCUUGAGGCAGUGUACAGUGUAGUGUGGCAGUUAAGAGACAAGAUCCUGGGGCCAGACUGGUUGGUUCAAAUCCCAGUUUGAAAACUUUCCUAUGUCCCAGUUUCUUUAUAUGUUAAAAUAGUAAUAAAGGAACUACCUACCCCAUCAGGUACUAAGGUCAAUUAAAUGAGUAAAUUCUUAUAAAAUGCUUUAGAACAGUGCCUGGCAUCUGGUAAAAUGCCAUGGAUUAGUUCUCAUUCUGACUACCACCGCCCUAAUACACUGAUGUUAACAUGCUGAUAUAUUUAUUCGAAGUCUUAUUUUCCUAUGCCUAUUUUUCACACAGUUGUAACCCAAUAAACUUUUAAAUUAUAGUAAAAUUUAGAAAGCAUUAAACUUUCAGCAUGCAGGAAUAUCUUGUCCUAUGUUCUUGUGGCCAUUCUAAAUAGAUAAGGCCAUGUUAAUGUCUUAAGAAACAUCAGCGUGUGUGGAAUGAACACAGGACAUUGGGGGAUUUGAAUUCUGGUUCUGCCAUGUGCUAGUUUGAGUGAUCUAGAACAAGCUAGUUUACCACCUCUCUUUAAGUUUUGGUUUCCCCAGUCAGUAAAAUAGAAAGUGAUGAAACCUAACUUGUAGGUAUAAGGAGGAUAAGAAAUAUUGUAUUUGAAUGCCUAGUACAGUGUCAGGCUUGAGUAAAGUACUAAUUCAACUUUUCCCUAGUAAUUAUUGUCCUCAUGAACAAACCUGCCUCCUCUCAAAGGCAGUGGCCACAACAGCACAUCCAACUUUAUUUAGGAAGACAUCUUGGUCUUUUCAGAGUGUGAGGAGCACAACAGCCUCAAGGAAGUGAUCCUGAUGGAGGGGCUGUGCUCUGAGCAGGGGUGCCGGGGCUGGCUAGUUCGUCUGAGAGGAAGCCCUUGGAGAACCAGCUAGGGAAGCAGGAAGAGUUCCGGGUAUAUGGAAAGUCAGAAAACAUCUCGGUCCUACGAAAGGAGAUCAAAGAUCUGAAGGCCCAGCUGCAGAAUGCCAACAAGGUCAUUCAGAACCUCAAGAGCCAGGUCUGGUCCCUCUCAGUUACAAGUGAUUAUUCGUCUAGUCUGGAAAGACCCCAGAAGCUGAGAGCUGUUGGCACCUUGGAGGGGUCUUCACCUCAUAGUGUCCCUGAUGAGGAUGAGGUGUGGCUGUCUGAUGGCACUGGGGCUUUCUACUCGCCAGGGCUUUAGGCCAAAAAGGACCUGGAGAGUCUCAUCCAGAGAGUAUCCCAGCUGGAGGCCCAGCUCCCAAAAAAUGGACUAGAAAGGAAGCUGGCUGAGGAGUUGAAAUCAGCCUCUUGGCCUGGGUAAGGAUGGCACUAUUUGGGCACUUCCUGGAUUGAAAAUGUGUAAGUUUGUGCUUGCUGUAGGGUAGCUCAGGCAGUUGGAAGAAAGA